rnacentral:rRNA from 1 species
UACGGGGGGUGCAAGCGUUGUUCGGAAUUACUGGGCGUAAAGGGCUCGUAGGCGGCCAACUAAGUCAGACGUGAAAUCCCUCAGCUUAACUGGGGAACUGCGUCUGAUACUGGAUGGCUUGAGUUUGGGAGAGGGAAGCGGAAUUCCAGGUGUAGCGGUGAAAUGCGUAGAUAUCUGGAGGAACACCGGUGGCGAAGGCGGCGUCCUGGACCAACACUGACACUGAUGAGCGAAAGCCAGGGGAGCAAACGGG